CCGCUGUGGCGUGCAGGUGGCGGGGUAGAGGAAGCCACAUGAGAAAAAUUCUCUGGCCUGGUUCUCCCCCCCAGCCUCCAAAACCACUUUCCCAGAAGAAAAGAUCGAGAGGCGGGGCUACAUUCAAAUAUAUCUUCCUUAUGUAAGGUGGAGACCUCUCAGAAGGAAAUAGGGGCAAUCUUAUAAUCUGAAAAAAAAUUCAAGAAAACAAAACAAAAAUGGAACUGUUCCAUGCUAAGUGUCAGAGACCAUAUUUGGGGACAACUCAUGACCAGGAACAAGAUAAGGAUCUUUUGGAAUCUGAACAAACAAGUUACCUCCUGAAAACUGGCGUCGUUAAGACCAACGGCCAUAAACCAUAAUAGUUCUUCACAUCCUCUCCUGGUAUAAACCGUCCUUAAUCACCAACCCCCCCCACCUCAAGCAUAUAUAUUCUUGCCCUGCACCUGCAAUAAAAGAGCC